rnacentral:rRNA from 2 species
CUGCGGCCUAUCAGCUUGUUGGUGAGGUAAUGGCCCACCAAGGCGAUUACAGGUACGGGCUCUGAGAGGAGAAGCCCGGAGAUGGGUACUGAGACACGGACCCAGGCCCUAUGGGGCGCAGCAGGCGAGAAAACUUUGCAAUGUGCGAAAGCACGACAAGGUUAGUCCGAGUGAUUUCUGCUAAAGAGAUCUUUUGCAAGUUCUAAAACCACUAGUGAAUAAGGGGUGGGCAAGUUCUGGUGUCAGCCGCCGCGGUAAAACCAGCACCUCGAGUGGUCAGGAGGAUUAUUGGGCCUAAAGCAUCCGUAGCCGGCUCUGUAAGUUUUCGGUUAAAUCCAUGCGCUCAACGCAUGGGCUGCCGAAAAUACUGCAGAGCUAGGGAGUGGGAGAGGUAGACGGUACUCGGUAGGAAGGGGUAAAAUCCUUUGAUCUAUCGAUGACCACCUGUGGCGAAGGCGGUCUACCAGAACACGU